AUUGAACGCUGGCGGCAGGCCUAACACAUGCAAGUCGAGCGGAUGAAGGGAGCUUGCGCCUGGAUUCAGCGGCGGACGGGGGAGUAAUGCCUAGGAAUCUGCCUGGUAGUGGGGGAUAACGUCCGGAAACGGGCGCUAAUACCGCAUACGUCCUGAGGGAGAAAGUGGGGGGUCUUCGGACCUCACGCUAUCAGAUGAGCCUAGGUCGGAUUAGCUAGUUGGUGGGGUAAAGGCCUACCAAGGCGACGAUCCGUAACUGGUCUGAGAGGAUGAUCAGUCACACUGGAACUGAGACACGCUCCAUACUCCUACGGGAGGCAGCAGUGGGGAAUAUUGGACAAUGGGCGAAAGCCUGAUCCAGCCAGGCCGCGUGUGUGAAGAAGGUCUUCGGAGUGUAAAGCACUUUAAGUUGGGAGGAAGGGCAGUAAGUUAAUACCUUGCUGUUUUGACGUUACCAACAGAAUAAGCACCGGCUAACUUCGUG
rnacentral:rRNA from 1 species